CUUCCGUAGGGGAACCUGCGGAGGGAUCAUUA
rnacentral:rRNA from 2 species